GGGGGCGUAAGCUGAUAUAGGGACAGCAGCCUCGUUCGAGGUGGAAUAUGUGGGUUCAAAUCCCAUCGCCUCCA
rnacentral:tRNA from 1 species